GACGAACGCUGGCGGCGUGCUUAACACAUGCAAGUCGAACGGAAAGGCCCUGCUUUUGUGGGGUGCUCGAGUGGCGAACGGGUGAGUAACACGUGAGUAACCUGCCCUUGACUUUGGGAUAACUUCAGGAAACUGGGGCUAAUACCGGAUAGGAGCUCCUGCUGCAUGGUGGGGGUUGGAAAGUUUCGGCGGUUGGGGAUGGACUCGCGGCUUAUCAGCUUGUUGGUGGGGUAGUGGCUUACCAAGGCUUUGACGGGUAGCCGGCCUGAGAGGGUGACCGGCCACAUUGGGACUGGGAUACGGCACAGACGCCUACGGGAGGCAGGAGUGGGGAAUAGUGCACAAUGGGCGGAAGCAUGAUGCAGCAACGCCGCGUGCGGGAUGACGGCCUUCGGGUUGUAAACCGAUUUCGCCUGUGACGAAGCGUGAGUGACGGUAAUGGGUAAAGAAGCACCGGCUAACUACGUG
rnacentral:rRNA from 1 species